rnacentral:miRNA from 1 species
UUGGAGGAUUUGAAGAUUUCAACU